UUCCAAGUCUAAAUUUGAAGACAGCCGGUUU
rnacentral:piRNA from 1 species